AAGUGGCGAAAGGGGCAGUAAAGCGUGGGUAACCUGCCCGGGGGACGGGGAUAGCCCUCCUAACGGAGGGGUAAUACCCGGCGACCUGGCUGGAAGACCUCUUCCGGCCAGCAAAGGAAUUUCGCCCCCGGAGGGGCUCACGUGGUAUUAGCUAGACGGCGGGGUAACGGCCCACCGUGGCCAAGAUGCCUAGCAGGUGUGAGAGCACGACCUGCGCCACUGGCACUGGGACACUGGCCAGACUCCUACGGGAGGCUGCAGUCGAGGAUCUUCGGCAAUGGGCGCAAGCCUGACCGAGCGACGCCGCGUGUGCGACGAAGGCCUUCGGGUUGUAAAGCACUGUCGAGGGGAAGAAAAGCCGCAAGGCCUGAUCGACCCCUGGAGGAAGCACGGGCUAAGUUCGUGCCAGCAGCCGCGGUAAGACGAACCGUGCGAACGUUGUUCGGAUUCACUGGGCUUAAAGGGCGCGUAGGCGGACCGCCAAGUCAGGGGUGAAAGCCCCCGGCCCAACCGGGGAAGUGCCUUUGAGACUGGCGGUCUCGAGCGGGAUAGGGGCAGCUGGAACUUUCGGUGGAGCGGUGAAAUGCGUAGAUAUCGGAAGGAACGCCGGUGGCGAAAGCGAGCUGCUGGAUCCCUCC
rnacentral:rRNA from 1 species